GGUAUUUAUCUUUCUGAGACUGACUUGACUCACUUAAUUGGCUCAUCUCCACCAGCUUCAUCCAUUUUCUCAAAAAUGACAUGUCUUCAUGGCCGACAAAUAUUCCAUUGUGUAGAUAUACCUGCACCACAUCUUCUAAAUCCAUUCCCAUUGGUAGGCUUCAUAAUCUAGCUGUUGUGAGUAGUGUGGACACUGAUGUUCAAGUAUCGCCAUGCUGUGUUGACUUGGAGGCUUUUGGGUAAAUACCCUGGGGUGGUACAUUUGGGUCGUAGGGAAGAUCUAUUGCUAGCUGUUUGAGGAAGCGCCAUACUGAGUUGCAUAGUGGCUGGAUUAGUUUAUGUUCUCACCAGCAGCAUCUAGGAGUUCUCUCUUCACAGCCUCAGAAGCAUUUGUUGUUAUUUAUCUUCUUAAUGGCCAUCACUCUGAUCAGAGGAAGAUAUAAUCUCAGUGCCAUUUUGAUUUGUGUUUUUUUGAUGACCAUUGACUAACCUGGAUUUUUUCCCCCUGGAUUACACCAGGCUUUCAUAAUUACAGACAGAAGAUGAGUUAGUCAGCUUUCAGAGUCUUAGCCAUCUAAGAGAUACACAGACAGUCCAAGAAACUGACAACAGAGACCAAGGCAGCAGGCCCAGAAGAGGGUUCUAUGCCACAAGCAUCCCCAAGCCAUAAAAUGGGUUGCUAACAGAUCCCAUUUAUUCAGCACUCAUGUUGGGUCUUGCCUGAGUAGUCAGUGAAAGCUCAGGUUGGGAAGAAAAGACUGAUCCUUCCAGAAACAGACAAGGCUCAUUAUUGGUCUUUCGGCUUGGACUGGAGCAUCAGGAUAGUAAUUUGGAGGUGACUGAUCCUAAGCUCAUCAAGAUUGGCUACUGAGCAGAUACAGUGGCAGCAAAUUCAAGGGAGCCCCUUCAGUGACUCUUACUAGCAUUGAGGGUUUCAGACAUUCUAGUGCCACACAAACAAGUCCUAGACCCCAGAUGCAGACCACAAAGCUGCAGUUUCCAUGUAGAUUGGCUUGAAGGGAGAUCGGAGAGAAAGGAAGUGGAAGAGACAGCCUAAUACAAAAAAAGUUUGUUUUUUGUUUUUUUCCUACAAAACAUAUUUUCUCUCAAAAGUAGUUAGUUGGCUUUCAUUUUUAAAUUUUAUUUACGCAAUUUUUGAAAUUCUCUAUCAAAGGUAGUUAGCCCAGCAAAGACUCUUAUUUCCUGUGCCUUCUCCACCCACUUGGUACUGAUCAACCAACUGCAUCAGGUUGUGAAGCUGAGCUCCCACCAAUGGGAUGAGCCACAGUCAAUCACCUAUGUCAGGCAUAAAAGACAGAAGCCAACUUGGCCAAAGUGUGCUUGCCAGCCAGGCCAGGGUCUUGGUGUAGCCUUUUAACACAAAGAAUUGCCUGGCCAAGCUCCUUCAGCUUUGGUGGUGUGUUCCUCUGUCUGACAGGGAGAUUGACGUGACUGUGUGUCUCCAGCACCUCCCUAGAGCACUGCUCAGCUCCGGACCCAGCGCCCGUCCUUCUCCCUCAGGACCACUAGCAACCCCUGUCUUCAAGGGCUGCUCCCGGGCUCCAGGUGUGGUGCUAAGUGCUUCAUGCUUCGUCUUAGGCAGUUAUGGAUAGUUGCAAUGUAAGCACUCUCAUUCUCUUCUCUCUGGUGCAGAGACUGAGGUCACAGAAGUUGGCUAUCUUGCCCAAGGUCAAGCAGCUGAAGAUGGAGCUGGGAUUCAGUUUCCUGGCACCUGGACUCCAGAAUCUACUCUCUCGAUCCCCUACUCUUGCUAUUCAAAGUGCGGUCUCCUGGACAGGAACAUUGGCAAUGGGCUCACAACGUUUCCUGCUGUUAAUGGGUCUGAGUGCUCCGCAUUGUGAUGUUUUUCCUCAGUGUUCCAAUCAUGAUCAAAACGUAACUGCCUACCACUGACCUCUGGUUCUCAGGCACACUGACCAGUCCUUUCGGAAAUGAUAUGGCACUUAUCUGGCUGAGAAUGAAUAUUCGGCUCCAGAAUCAAAGAGCUCUGGUAUUGGUGGAGGGUCCUAGGGGUCAGCUACUAUCUUAUCUCAUGGCUCCUAAACCCAAGGUGCCAUCUCUGGGUCUCCAAGGGCUCUCUUACAGUGUGUCCCUUCAGGCCUUUCUAGGUUCAGAGAAUGGGACUCUGCUGGGAUUAGUCUUUUAAUAAACUUUCUAUCAAAA